GUUUGAUCUUGCUGAUGUUGGUGAUACUGCAUCAGGAACUGAUUGGAUGAUAUCUAGGAGCCAUCAGUUCUUGAUGCACUCCCUUCAGCAUCGAAAGA
ensembl:miRNA